GCGAUAAGCGUCGGUAAGGUGAUAUGAACCGUUAUAACCGGCGAUUUCCGAAUGGGGAAACCCAGUGUGUUUCGACACACUAUCAUUAACUGAAUCCAUAGGUUAAUGAGGCGAACCGGGGGAACUGAAACAUCUAAGUACCCCGAGGAAAAGAAAUCAACCGAGAUUCCCCCAGUAGCGGCGAGCGAACGGGGAGCAGCCCAGAGCCUGAAUCAGUGUGUGUGUUAGUGGAAGCGUCUGGAAAGGCGCGCGAUACAGGGUGACAGCCCCGUACACAAAAAUGCACAUGCUGUGAGCUCGAUGAGUAGGGCGGGACACGUGGUAUCCUGUCUGAAUAUGGGGGGACCAUCCUCCAAGGCUAAAUACUCCUGACUGACCGAUAGUGAACCAGUACCGUGAGGGAAAGGCGAAAAGAACCCCGGCGAGGGGAGUGAAAAAGAACCUGAAACCGUGUACGUACAAGCAGUGGGAGCACGCUUAGGCGUGUGACUGCGUACCUUUUGUAUAAUGGGUCAGCGACUUAUAUUCUGUAGCAAGGUUAACCGAAUAGGGGAGCCGAAGGGAAACCGAGUCUUAACUGGGCGUUAAGUUGCAGGGUAUAGACCCGAAACCCGGUGAUCUAGCCAUGGGCAGGUUGAAGGUUGGGUAACACUAACUGGAGGACCGAACCGACUAAUGUUGAAAAAUUAGCGGAUGACUUGUGGCUGGGGGUGAAAGGCCAAUCAAACCGGGAGAUAGCUGGUUCUCCCCGAAAGCUAUUUAGGUAGCGCCUCGUGAACUCAUCUCCGGGGGUAGAGCACUGUUUCGGCAAGGGGGUCAUCCCGACUUACCAACCCGAUGCAAACUGCGAAUACCGGAGAAUGUUAUCACGGGAGACACACGGCGGGUGCUAACGUCCGUCGUGAAGAGGGAAACAACCCAGACCGCCAGCUAAGGUCCCAAAGUCAUGGUUAAGUGGGAAACGAUGUGGGAAGGCCCAGACAGCCAGGAUGUUGGCUUAGAAGCAGCCAUCAUUUAAAGAAAGCGUAAUAGCUCACUGGUCGAGUCGGCCUGCGCGGAAGAUGUAACGGGGCUAAACCAUGCACCGAAGCUGCGGCAGCGACGCUGAUGCGUUGUUGGGUAGGGGAGCGUUCUGUAAGCCUGUGAAGGUGUGCUGUGAGGCAUGCUGGAGGUAUCAGAAGUGCGAAUGCUGACAUAAGUAACGAUAAAGCGGGUGAAAAGCCCGCUCGCCGGAAGACCAAGGGUUCCUGUCCAACGUUAAUCGGGGCAGGGUGAGUCGACCCCUAAGGCGAGGCCGAAAGGCGUAGUCGAUGGGAAACAGGUUAAUAUUCCUGUACUUGGUGUUACUGCGAAGGGGGGACGGAGAAGGCUAUGUUGGCCGGGCGACGGUUGUCCCGGUUUAAGCGUGUAGGCUGGUUUUCCAGGCAAAUCCGGAAAAUCAAGGCUGAGGCGUGAUGACGAGGCACUACGGUGCUGAAGCAACAAAUGCCCUGCUUCCAGGAAAAGCCUCUAAGCAUCAGGUAACAUCAAAUCGUACCCCAAACCGACACAGGUGGUCAGGUAGAGAAUACCAAGGCGCUUGAGAGAACUCGGGUGAAGGAACUAGGCAAAAUGGUGCCGUAACUUCGGGAGAAGGCACGCUGAUAUGUAGGUGAAGUCCCUCGCGGAUGGAGCUGAAAUCAGUCGAAGAUACCAGCUGGCUGCAACUGUUUAUUAAAAACACAGCACUGUGCAAACACGAAAGUGGACGUAUACGGUGUGACGCCUGCCCGGUGCCGGAAGGUUAAUUGAUGGGGUCAGCGCAAGCGAAGCUCUUGAUCGAAGCCCCGGUAAACGGCGGCCGUAACUAUAACGGUCCUAAGGUAGCGAAAUUCCUUGUCGGGUAAGUUCCGACCUGCACGAAUGGCGUAAUGAUGGCCAGGCUGUCUCCACCCGAGACUCAGUGAAAUUGAACUCGCUGUGAAGAUGCAGUGUACCCGCGGCAAGACGGAAAGACCCCGUGAACCUUUACUAUAGCUUGACACUGAACAUUGAGCCUUGAUGUGUAGGAUAGGUGGGAGGCUUAGAAGUGUGGACGCCAGUCUGCAUGGAGCCGACCUUGAAAUACCACCCUUUAAUGUUUGAUGUUCUAACGUUGACCCGUAAUCCGGGUUGCGGACAGUGUCUGGUGGGUAGUUUGACUGGGGCGGUCUCCUCCUAAAGAGUAACGGAGGAGCACGAAGGUUGGCUAAUCCUGGUCGGACAUCAGGAGGUUAGUGCAAUGGCAUAAGCCAGCUUGACUGCGAGCGUGACGGCGCGAGCAGGUGCGAAAGCAGGUCAUAGUGAUCCGGUGGUUCUGAAUGGAAGGGCCAUCGCUCAACGGAUAAAAGGUACUCCGGGGAUAACAGGCUGAUACCGCCCAAGAGUUCAUAUCGACGGCGGUGUUUGGCACCUCGAUGUCGGCUCAUCACAUCCUGGGGCUGAAGUAGGUCCCAAGGGUAUGGCUGUUCGCCAUUUAAAGUGGUACGCGAGCUGGGUUUAGAACGUCGUGAGACAGUUCGGUCCCUAUCUGCCGUGGGCGCUGGAGAACUGAGGGGGGCUGCUCCUAGUACGAGAGGACCGGAGUGGACGCAUCACUGGUGUUCGGGUUGUCAUGCCAAUGGCACUGCCCGGUAGCUAAAUGCGGAAGAGAUAAGUGCUGAAAGCAUCUAAGCACGAAACUUGCCCCGAGAUGAGUUCUCCCUGACCCUUUAAGGGUCCUGAAGGAACGUUGAAGACGACGACGUUGAUAGGCCGGGUGUGUAAGCGCAGCGAUGCGUUGAGCUAACCGGUACUAAUGAACCGUGAGGCUUAACCU
rnacentral:rRNA from 1 species